rnacentral:rRNA from 1 species
AGGGGUACUGCGGAGGAUCAUUAUGAAUUUAUGACUGGGGUUGUAGCUGGCCUUUAAAAACGGCAUGUGCACGCCCCUUUCACUAAUCCACACACACCUGUGCACCUUCGCGGGGGCUCUUGGGAAUCGACGCAAGUCGUGGUACCGGAGCUCGCGUCCCUUUACACACCCCUUUGUAUGUCUUAAGAAUGUCUACUCGAUGUAAUAAAACGCAUCUAAUACAACUUUCAACAACGGAUCUCUUGGCUCUCGCAUCGAUGAAGAACGCAGCGAAAUGCGAUAAGUAAUGUGAAUUGCAGAAUUCAGUGAAUCAUCGAAUCUUUGAACGCACCUUGCGCCCUUUGGUAUUCCGAAGGGCACACCUGUUUGAGUGUCGUGAAAUUCUCAACCCUCUUCACUUUUUUGUGAGGCUAGGGCUUGGACUUGGAGGCUUUGCCGGCUCUGCUCGGCUCCUCUCAAAUGCAUUAGUGCGUCUUGUUGCGACGUGCGCCUCGGUGUGAUAAUUAUCUACGCUGUGGUGUGCUUGCUUCUGUGGAGACGCGCUUUCAAACCGUCCGAAAGGACAACUUUCAUCGAACUUUGACCUCAAAUCAGGUGGGACUACCCGCUGAACUUAAGCAUAUCAUAAAACGGGAGGGAGGAACACCCUCCCUCCCC